GCCACUUAAACGCGCCUGCGCAGUUGCAACAUAUGCGUGCACAUACUCAUGGGGAACAUGGACAUCUGCGCGGGAACAGCUGCAAUUGGCGAACGAUCAGUCUGGAUGUAAAGCAUUCCCUGUGGCUAAUCCAAUUUUGAUAACUCAAAUUUGAAGCCCAAUAAUAAAUUUUACAUGUUCCAAGCCUUUGAUUUCACCUCCAUCCAUUGCGUCAUUCCGAAUUAAAACAAUCUCCAUUGAACAAAUCAAAAGAAAAGGAAAACCAAGUACUCCAAAGUAGCCGAUCUCGAAAGCGAGAAUUAACGAGCGAUCUCGAAAUCGUGAGGGUUGUCUUAAUUAGAUCGCGACUCCGUCUUCGUCGGUGUUCUUUUUCAAACUCGAGGGCACACGCUGUUGGAAAUCGUUGAAACGAUGCAGAAAUAACGAGAACCGGAAAGGAGAGAGAAAGAAAGAGAAAGAGGAGUUUGAAGUGCAUGGUGGGCCCUCGACCGAUCAAAGCAGAUUCGCAAAGUUGGCCCAAAGAACAAGGAAUACCGAGUGGCUCUCCUCUCGUCGAAUGUAUCAACGAUCAAAGGGUUAAUACGCGUUGGAAAUUCCUUUUUUUCCGUUCUCAAAAGGAUUGAAGAUGAAGUUGUUUCGCAAAAUUUUGACGAUUGAGGAGGAAAAUUAAAAAAUUUAUUGAGAAAGAGGAAAAUUUUAUAAGAAAUUUAAUGUAUAUACUUUUGUUCAAUAAUUGGAAAGAAAUUGGAUGAAUAAUGAUUAAUGGAUAUUUUUCAAGUAAAAACUUUUUGUGAAAUAAAAUUGAUCAUGAUUUAUACCGAGUAUUAAAAUUUUAUCAGAAAUAAUAGAAAAUGCAGAGAAUCAGAGAAUAAAAUGGAUGCGACACCCACGCGUGGCUUUUAUAGUAACCGGAAUAAAAAACGAUAAAUGGUUCUCCAAAAAUAACCCUUACAGUUCUUUUAAGCAGUCUAUAAGACGCUUCUUAUACGUCUUCGUGCAAAAUUCACGAAUGCACUUUUAUCUUUCUCAUUCAUGGAAUCCUUACGAAAAAAAAAAAAAA